CUCUCAUCAUUGGGCUCUCACAAAGAUCCUCACACUUUACCUCUUGUUAAAGGCCAGCUAGUACUUAAAAGAACCCCAGUAGAUUGCUUCUUUCAACAGCUUUUGAAGCCAAUAAAAAAAGAAUGUGUCAAAAUGUCUGACAACACCAACCACCAAGAGACAGAUGAAACUGCAGAUACAAGCCAGUGUUAUACAUCACUAAGCAGGCAUGCUUUGAGAGCAUGUGUGUCUGGGGAACUCAGCUUGCUGUAAUUCCAUAAACAUUCUUCUUCCCUGCAGAAUCAUGAGGCUGAGGGGAAUCAAUCAGAGUUUCACAGCUGCGCAGUUUCUGACCCAAGCGCAUUUGACCUGCAAGUCCUAAUGACGCAUAGCCCAAAGUGAUGUGACCUUUUUGACUAGACCUCAGGGUCCCAGUAUAACAAAAAUGACAAAAAAAGA